rnacentral:rRNA from 1 species
GUAGUCUCGCACAGAUGCAUAUCCAAUAAGCGGAGGAAAAGAAACUAACAAGGAUUCCCCUAGUAACGGCGAGUGAAGCGGGAAGAGCUCAAAUUUGAAAAUCUUAAAGGGUUUCCCUUUACGAAUUGUAGUUUAAAGAAGUGUUUUCUGUUGAGGUUUUGGUAAAAGUUCUUUGGAAUAGGGCAUCAUAGAGGGUGAGAAUCCCGUAUUUGACCUUUACUUUCAACUUUGUGAUACACUUUCAAAGAGUCGGAUUGUUUGGGAAUGCAGUCCAAAAUGGGUGGUAAAUUUCAUCUAAAGCUAAAUAUUGGCGAGAGACCGAUAGCGAACAAGUACCGUGAGGGAAAGAUGAAAAGAACUUUGAAAAGAGAGUUAAACAGUACGUGAAAUUGUCAAAAGGGAAGCGUUUGACACCAGUGUUGUUUUUCUGAAAAUCAAUUAAAGAACUGUUUAUGCUAAGUUGUUUAGACUUUAUCAGCUAACUGUUUAGUUUUGAGCUUUUCUUUAAUGCACUUUUCAGUUAACAAGUCAACAUCAAUUUCUUUUGCUGUAAAAAAGCUUGAGGAAGGUGGCUUGAGAUUCGUCUUAAGUGUUUAUAGCCUCUUGCCUAUGCAGUCGGAGAGAUUGAGGUCUGCAGCGUAGAUCCUUCGGGGCUAAAUGCAUUUGUGCUAAGUUAUAGCAUUUUAUAGACAACUUGUUGACUAUGAUUUGUCUUGUAGCUUACUCGCUUAUGUUAUUUUACCUACGCUUAGGAUGUUGAUCUGUAGUGCGUGCGC